CAAGCGGAGGAGCAUGUGGUUUAAUUCGAUGAUACGCGAGGAACCUUACCCGGGCUUGAAAGUUAGUGAAUCAUUUAGAGAUAGAUGAGUCCGCAAGGACACGAAACUAGGUGCUGCAUGGCUGUCGUCAGCUCGUGCCGUGAGGUGUUGGGUUAAGUCCCGCAACGAGCACAACCCCUAUGUUUAGUUGCCAGCACGUUAUGGUGGGGACUCUAAACAGACUGCCUGUGCAAACAGAGAGGAAGGAGGGGACGACGUCAAGUCAUCAUGGCCCUUACGUCCGGGGCUACACACGUGCUACAAUGGAUGGUACAGAGGGCAGCAAGCUGGCAACAGCAAGCAAAUCUCAAAAAGCCAUUCACAGUUCGGAUAGAGGUCUGCAACUCGACCUCUUGAAGUUGGAUUCGCUAGUAAUCGCGUAUCAGCAAUGACGCGGUGAAUACGUUCCCGGGCCUUGUACACACC
rnacentral:rRNA from 1 species